rnacentral:misc_RNA from 1 species
GAUGAAGAACGUAGCGAAAUGCGAUACGUAAUGUGAAUUGCAGAAUUCAGUGAAUCAUCGAAUCUUUGAACGCAUAUUGCGCUCUCUGGUAUUCCGGAGAGCAUGCUUGUUUGAGUAUCAGUAAACACCUCAACUCCCUUUUCUUUUUUGAAAUGGGAGCUGGACUUGAGUGAUCCCAACACUUUUCUCACUGGAAAGUGGCGGGUCACUUGAAAUGCAGGUGCAGCUGGACUUUUCUCUGAGCUAUAAGCAUAUCUAUUUAGUCUGCCUAAAAAACAGAUUAUUACCUUUGCUGCAGCUAACAUAAAGGAGAUGAGUUCUUGUGCUGACUGAUGCAGGAUUCACAGAGACAGCUUUGCGGCUGACUUUGUAAACGCGAUCUCAAAUCAAGUAAGACUACCCGCUGAACUUAAGCAUACCAAUAAGCGGAGGA